AAAAAAAAAAAGAAAAGAAAACACUUCAUCUGUUCUUUAUACUUGCAGCUCCAUUGAGGUGUUUAUGUAAACAAAACAAAUACAUUUCCUCGGAGUUGGGCCACAUUAAUUUCAUUAUGGGCCAGGGUUGAUGCAAGAGAUUUCGAUGACAUCAAAUGCAACUCCUACGGUGGGCCAGAUUUGUCAUCCAAUUAACAUCACAAAAUGUUCUUAUCAAAAUGAGCAAAGAAAAUGGUCCAUCACAACAGAGAACUCGCCAAUUGCAUGGCAGAACAUAUUAUCGCAUAAAAUCCUAACACAAACAAAUUAUAUAAGGAUACAAAUACAGACCAGGAAAGGAGAUUGUCAAAGCAAUUCCGCACAUACUUCCACAAGGAAUCCAGAUAAAGUUUGAUGAGCAAGAGGGAGGAGAUGAGACUUUCUUGGUCUAUCUACGGUAGCCACGGUCAGCUGACAACGAGCGAUCCCUGUGCCUCCUAUGUGAAUCAUAAUCAUCUCCCCUCCUACUAUAUGGAGACCGUGAUCUUCCACGCCGGUCCCUUGAAUAAUAAUCUCUGUCUCUGUCUCUGUCUCUG
rnacentral:misc_RNA from 1 species